CGCCCCAGCCGGGUUUCGUACCCGGAUCUCUUGCUUUCUGGGCAAUUGUGCUACCAGGUGCGCGACCGGGGC